AAAGUCGUAACAAGGUUUCCGUAGGUGAACCUGCGGAAGGAUCAUUACAGAGUUCAUGCCCUCACGGGUAGACCUCCCACCCUUGUGUAUCUAUACCAUGUUGCUUUGGCAGGCUGCUGGCCCCCUCGGGGGACAGCCUCAGCGCCCUCGGGCCUGAGAGUCGCCUGCCGGAGGAAAAACAAACUCUGAACUGUUAGUGUCGUCUGAGUACUAUAUUUUAAUAGUUAAAACUUUCAACAACGGAUCUCUUGGUUCUG
rnacentral:misc_RNA from 1 species